GACGAACGCUGGCGGCGUGCUUAACACAUGCAAGUCGAACGGUAAGGCCCUUCGGGGUACACGAGUGGCGAACGGGUGAGUAACACGUGAGUGACCUGCCCUCUACUUCGGGAUAACUUCCAGAAAUGGUGGCUAAUACCGGAUAUGAGGCGCCUGGGCAUCCGGGCGUCUGGAAAGAAUUUCGGUCGGGGAUGGGCUCGCGGCCUAUCAGCUUGUUGGUGGGGUAAUGGCCUACCAAGGCGACGACGGGUAGCCGGCCUGAGAGGGCGACCGGCCACACUGGGACUGAGACACGGCCCAGACUCCUACGGGAGGCAGCAGUGGGGAAUAUUGCACAAUGGGCGCAAGCCUGAUGCAGCGACGCCGCGUGAGUGAAGAAGGCCUUCGGGUUGUAAAGCUCUUUCGGCCGGGAAGAAAUCGCACGGGCUAAUACCCUGUGUGGAUGACGGUACCGGAAUAAGAAGCACCGGCUAACUAC
rnacentral:rRNA from 1 species